rnacentral:rRNA from 1 species
GGGGCAGCACGAUGUAGCAAUACAUUGGUGGCGACCGGCGCACGGGUGAGUAACGCGUAUGCAACCUACCUAUCAGAGGGGAAUAACCCGGCGAAAGUCGGACUAAUACCGCAUAAAACAGGGGUUCCACAUGGAAAUAUUUGUUAAAGAAUUAUCGCUGAUAGAUGGGCAUGCGUUCCAUUAGAUAGUUGGUGAGGUAACGGCUCACCAAGUCCACGAUGGAUAGGGGUUCUGAGAGGAAGGUCCCCCACACUGGUACUGAGACACGGACCAGACUCCUACGGGAGGCAGCAGUGAGGAAUAUUGGUCAAUGGGCGAGAGCCUGAACCAGCCAAGUCGCGUGAAGGAUGAAGGAUCUAUGGUUUGUAAACUUCUUUUAUAUGGGAAUAAAGUGAGGAACGUGUUCCUUUUUGUAUGUACCAUAUGAAUAAGCAUCGGCUAACUCCGUGCCAGCAGCCGCGGUAAUACGGAGGAUGCGAGCGUUAUCCGGAUUUAUUGGGUUUAAAGGGUGCGUAGGUGGUUAAUUAAGUCAGCGGUGAAAGUUUGUGGCUCAACCAUAAAAUUGCCGUUGAAACUGGUUGACUUGAGUAUAUUUGAGGUAGGCGGAAUGCGUGGUGUAGCGGUGAAAUGCAUAGAUAUCACGCAGAACUCCGAUUGCGAAGGCAGCUUACUAAACUAUAACUGACACUGAAGCACGAAAGCGUGGGGAUCAAACAGGAUUAGAUACCUUGGUAGUCCACGCAGUAAACGAUGAUUACUAGCUGUUUGC